rnacentral:misc_RNA from 1 species
UUUCCGUAGGUGAACCUGCGGAAGGAUCAUUAUUGAAUAAACCUGAUGUGACUGUUAGCUGGCUUUUCGAAGCAUGUGCUCGUCCGUCAUCUUUAAUCUCUCCAUCUGUGCACAUUUUGUAGUCUUGGAUACCUCUCGAGGCAACUCGGAUUUUAGGAUCGCCGUGCUGUUCAAGUCGACUUUUCUUUCAUUUCCAAGGCUAUGUUUUUAUAUACACCAAAGUAUGUUUAAAGAAUGUCAUCAAUAGGAACUUGUUUCCUAUAAAAUUAUACAACUUUCAGCAACGGAUCUCUUGGCUCUC